rnacentral:rRNA from 1 species
CUACGUGCCAGCAGCCGCGGUAAUACGUAGGGUGCGAGCGUUAAUCGGAAUUACUGGGCGUAAAGCGUGCGCAGGCGGUUUGUUAAGACCGAUGUGAAAUCCCCGGGCUCAACCUGGGAACUGCAUUGGUGACUGGCAAGCUAGAGUAUGGCAGAGGGGGGUAGAAUUCCACGUGUAGCAGUGAAAUGCGUAGAGAUGUGGAGGAAUACCGAUGGCGAAGGCAGCCCCCUGGGCCAAUACUGACGCUCAUGCACGAAAGCGUGGGGAGCAAACAGGAUUAGAUACCCUGGUAGUCCACGCCCUAAACGAUGUCAACUAGUUGUUGGGGAUUCAUUUCCUUAGUAACGUAGCUAACGCGUGAAGUUGACCGCCUGGGGAGUACGGUCGCAAGAUUAAAACUCAAAGGAAUUGACGGGGACCCGCACAAGCGGUGGAUGAUGUGGAUUAAUUCGAUGCAACGCGAAAAACCUUACCUACCCUUGACAUGGUCG